UCGGUUUUCUCAUCUGCAGUUCGCCUGAAGUGGCAUUGCCUAAAUCCUACAAAUAUGCCUGACAAGGAUCAACAGCAGAAAAAGGCUCAGCCCAAACCCCCUCCAGAGCAGAAGCAAACCCACCAGAAGACUCCUCCACAAAACAAGGAGAAGGAAAAAGAGGGGGAAAAAGAGGACAAACCAUCCUCCGAGAAGGCAGAGUGAUAAGGAGAAGGAGUAACGUGAGAACCCACGACGCUUCAUCGGCUGUACAACAAAGACCCAGGAGUAAAUAUUUGUCAAAUAAAUAAAUUAUGCUUCGCCUGCCACCAAACCCAGGACUAUCGCUCCUGUUCACCUUUUACUUCUCCCGCCUCUGUCUCCACCAGCACUUGGGUCCACCUUGGCUUCCUGUAGAAUCUGAGACAGCUCAGCCCGACGGCAGCCAGGCAUCCUGAGGAUUGAACAACUCAGCAAAUCCCUGUUGGAGGAUUCAUCAGCCCAACCGAAUCCCUCAGCAUGUGACCAUGAAGACAUUCAAGAUGCUUAUCUGCACGCUCACUGCUGUAUUUAUGCUUCAGUCAAUGCACAUCUUAUCUCACCAAGAGAUACUCAUCAUUCUUGACCCACAGUGAACUGUGGCUUGCAUCUGCCGUUGCCAUGCCGGAAGGGGGGAGUGUGGAGGUUCCCAUGAGCUGACUGUUUUCACUAACCUGCUCUUAGCACUGGGGAAGGAGUCUCUGUGGCGUUGGAGGCUUCAAGGCCCUGUGCACUUAAAGCCAAACUACAAGUGAUGAAUUACACUUGCCUGGCAAGUGUAAUUCAUCACUUGUAGCUUGGCUCUUAGUUCUCAGCAGGAAGGGAGGGAGGGAUGCUAGCCUGGAAGGGAUUUAUGUGUCUAUGCUGUCGCAGUGCCUUAUUCUGGACAAAGACCAUCGUAGGAUGUCCAUCGUAAGAUUAUGACACUAGACUCGUUUAAUAAAGCUUUGCAAAUUCUGUGGAGACUUGUGGAAACAUGUCUUGGCAUGAUCCUUACACCGGUGAUGCUUAAGAAACUGCAUCUAAUUUAUUUUGCCUUUGCUUGCUGAAUUAAACCUUUGUAAUUCAUGA